GACGAACGCUGGCGGCGUGCUUAACACAUGCAAGUCGAGCGGAGCGGCGAACGGGUGAGUAACGCGUGAGUAACUGCCCCCCUCUCUGGGAUAACAGUUGGAAACUGCUGCUAAUACCCGAUAGUGGGGGAUGACUCGCGUCCUAUCAGCUUGUUGGUGGGGUAGGGGGCUACCAAGGCGGCGACGGGUUGCAGGCCUGAGAGGGUGAGCGGCCACAUUGGGCUGAGAUACGGCCCAAAGUCCUACGGGAGGCAGCAGUGGGGAAUAGUGCGCAAUGGGGGAAACGCUGAUGCAGCAACGCCGCGUGCGGGAUGACGGCCUUCGGGUUGUAAACCGCUUUCAGCCAUGAUGCGGUAGUGGCAGAAGAAGCACCGGCUAACUACGUGCCAGCAGCCGCGGUAAUUC
rnacentral:rRNA from 1 species